rnacentral:rRNA from 1 species
CCUACGGGUGGCAGCAGUGGGGAAUAUUGGACAAUGGGCGAAAGCCUGAUCCAGCCAUGCCGCGUGUGUGAAGAAGGCCUUCGGGUUGUAAAGCACUUUCAGUGGGGAAGAAAGCCUUGGGGCUAAUACCCUCGAGGAAGGACAUCACCCACAGAAGAAGCACCGGCUAACUCCGUGCCAGCAGCCGCGGUAAUACGGAGGGGUGCGAGCGUUAAUCGGAAUUACUGGGCGUAAAGCGCGCGUAGGCGGUCUGAUAAGCCGGUUGUGAAAGCCCGGGCUCAACCUGGGAACGGCAUCCGGAACUGUCAGGCUAGAGUGCAGGAGAGGAAGGUAGAAUUCCCGGUGUAGCGGUGAAAUGCGUAGAGAUCGGGAGGAAUACCAGUGGCGAAGGCGGCCUUCUGGACUGACACUGACGCUGAGGUGCGAAAGCGUGGGUAGCAAACAGGAUUAGAUACCCGUGUAGUC